rnacentral:rRNA from 1 species
CGGAGAGGGCAGCGUUGUUCGGAUUUACUGGGCAUAAAGAGCACGUAGGCGGACCUACAAGUCAGUUGUGAAAUCCCGGGGCUCAACCCCGGAACGGCAUCCGAUACUAUAGGUCUAGAGGAUGAAAGAGGAGAGUGGAACUUCUGGUGGAGCGGUGAAAUGCGUAGAUAUCAGAAGGAACACCGGUGGCGAAAGCGACUCUCUGGUUCAUAUCUGACGCUGAGGUGCGAAAGCUAGGGGAGCAAACGGGAUUAGAUACCCCGGUAGUCCUAGCCGUAAACGAUGGGCACUAAGUAGGGGAGGUUCUGACACCUUCCCUGCCGGAGCUAACGUAUUAAGUGCCCCGCCUGGGGAGUAUGGUCGCAAGGCUA